rnacentral:rRNA from 1 species
GCCUACGGGGGGCAGCAGUGGGGAAUAUUGCGCAAUGGGCGAAAGCCUGACGCAGCGACGCCGCGUGAGGGAUGAAGGUCUUCGGAUCGUAAACCUCUGUCAGCAGGGAAGAACGGUCACUGUGCUAAUCAGCAGUGAAUUGACGGUACCUGCAAAGGAAGCACCGGCUAACUCCGUGCCAGCAGCCGCGGUAAUACGGAGGGUGCGAGCGUUAAUCGGAAUUACUGGGCGUAAAGCGCUCGUAGGCGGUAUGGUAAGUCAAGGGUGAAAUCCCCGGGCUCAACGUGGGAACUGCCUUUGAUACUGGGAAACUAGAGUGUUGGAGAGGGAAGUGGAAUUCUAGGUGUAGGAGUGAAAUGCGUAGAUAUCGGGAGGAACACUAGUGGCGAAGGCGAGUACCUGGAACUUAACUGACGCUGAGGAGCGAAAGCGAGGGGAGCGAACGGGAUUAGAUACCCGAGUAGUC